GUCAGUUCCUAGCUGCAGCGGGUUGUUGAUAUGAGAGGUGAGUGAUAGAACAUAAAAAUAAAAACAGAGCCAAGACAGCUAUUUGGGAAUCCCCUCCUAGGCCUGUUGUGUCUAUAGCAUUGUGAGCCAUUCAUGGAGAGCUAGUCGCCUCCUCUGCUCUGUGUGGCUAAGGAGGAUGGUACUGGUUCCUGUGUGUGUCUUGCUCCUCAAUGUUAAGAGACCUCAUUUAUAGAGCAAAUGCUAUGUGCUGGGCAUGGUUCUCCAAACCUCAGACUCAGUCAGGACCAAUCCUCAAAGCAUUGUCCCUGCUUGACAAAUGACAGGCCUCAGGCUCAGAUGGGUAAGGGACUUGCACAAGUCAAUCAUUGCCCCCCCCCGGGGGGGGGGCUUAGCUAGGAUCCAGUCCCUGGCAGUACUAUUCCAGGAGCACUGUCACUAGAACCAAGGUGCUAGGUCUUUGCAUUUGUCACAUCCCUGACAUCACCUGCAAUGUGCUUUAUGCCCUUAUCAGGGAUUAUGACUCAUCAGGGAGGCUGGCAGUGUCUCUCCCCCUGUGGCUCCUGAAGGCAGGGAGCAAUGAGUUUUCCCCAUCUAAAGAGGGGGAUGAGCCUCAAGUAUCCACAGCUAUUCCACUUGCAUUCCUGUCCCUAUAGUCAGGGCUUCAAAUGAGUACCGAUGCAGGCAGUUUGAAUGAGGAAUAACCAACAUUAGCCUGGGUAUUUGAACACUUGGCUCCCAGUUAGUGGUGCUGUUUGCGGAGUUUUAGGAAGAUGUUGGCAGAUGUAUGUAAGCUCUCAGCUGCCUGCUGCUGCCAUGCCUGUCAUUUGUAGCUAUGCGACUUUUCUCUGAUGAAUUCUUCUUACCUCUUUGGAAUUGUAAGGCAAAUCAAACUCUUCCUUCCUGUUUCAUCACAACAACAGAAAAGUAAUGUCUACAAUGAUGAGUCCCUUCUCUGCCAUCGCGAUCACUCAAGGCAAGUCCAGGUCCCCAGGCCAUUGUAUUGGUCGCAUUCUUAUCCUGACUCCAGGGAAGCAGCUCUGCUGCCAUGUUGGGGGUCUGUGCACACAGGCAGCUCUGGCAGGCAAUUGAAAACACCCAUGCGAAGAAUGAAAAGCACCAGGCAGUUUAUGAAAAGCGAGAUGCAUUUGUGAUUCAAGACUGCUGUGCACGGAGAACCAUUGGAAGUUGGGUGCUGUGAGUGAGAAGAGAAGCCAGAACCAGGGUCUGGCAACCUAGGGACUCAUCAGGAGAAGGUGGAGGAGGUGAUGUGUUUUCACAGGACAACUCCCAUUUGGUUCUGUCUGUGGCUUAAAGGUUAGUGAAGAAGAGAUAACCUGUACUCUGUGCUCUGUACAAUCUGUACUCUGGUUUUGUGUUUGGAUCUGGAAUGUCCUACCUUAGGAGAAUUUCAGGUCUUAGUAAUUCUGAAGGAGUGCUAGGGUUGGGUGGCGGCAAGGUCUCAUCCAUGUCAGACCCCUUCACAGAUUCCUUUAAAUGUCACAUUUCAUUUAAUAGCUGCCAUUUUAAAAUUAACCAUCGAAGUUGGGAGCUGUCAAGUAAACGAUUUCAAAACAGAUACUGCUGUUGGCAGGCUCAAGGAUAACACAGAGAGACUGAGUGUGAGCAGCAUCUAGGAUGGACGCAGGCUAGUCCCAGAUGGGGUUCAUGUUCACCUGGGGUGAGGAUGCAGAACACAUGAUGAUUUGUCUUGGUCAUCAACUUGACAAGGUCUGAAGUCAACUAGGAGACAGGUCUCUAUUAUGCAGAUUAUGCAGGUUGCAUUAACGGAGGCGGAGAGGCUCGCCCUAAACGAGGGCAGUAUCAUUCCAUGGGCGGGGGUCCUUUGUUGAAUAAGGCAAAAAGCAGUGAACACCCACAUUCAUCUCUCUACUUUCUGAUGAUGGGCACAAGGUGAUCAGCUGUCUCUUGCUCCUUCUACCAUAGUGAACUGAGCCCUGGAACUCUGAGCUGAAGUAAACCUCCUUUCUUAAGAUUACUUGUCUCAGGCAUUUUUUCACAGCAACAGCAAAAUGUGACCAAUACCCAUGCCCACUGAAGAGCACCUGCUCCUGCCCGCAAAGGACCAGUACCACCAGAAAGAAGACCAAGUACUGACAUGUGGCUUGCAGACAGUAGGGUAUGAAAUACAGGAGGUCAGCAUAGAGGAGGAGGGUAACACUGGAGUUGAAGGAUGAGGUAGACAGAAGGGAGAGUGAGUCACUGGUUACUCAGAUGAAGUUCUGACUACAUACUCACCUGACUGGCCCCAUUUUGCCUUAGGGGGUAGAGGUCUGUGUUGGGCAGGACAUAGGGACUUAGUACCAGACAACAGAAGGUUGACUUUGGAUCCUGUGCCCUCAGGAGCAGAGUUCCUUCCUGACUUGCUCCACGUCACAGUCAUCAGCUACCCAUCAUGUUGUUCAGGCUACCAGUAGACUAACCUCCUCCUCAGCCUCUUCAGGCUAGCGGGUUCUGUCUGCCACACUUUCAAACACCCCCAACCCAACCACCUUCCCCAGUGGUGCAUCCAUCCUGGCUGCAGACUCCAUUGUUUCUUCUCUGUGGUGGCCUCCUCGGCUGCCCCAGCGUCUACACUCCCAUGGAAGCCACUAUGACCUUCAGACUCUAUCCUAGACUGAGCAACUUCCCUAAGAUACUCUAGUAGCUUUUCUCUGUCCUAAGAAUGGGACCCAGCUCCUGACCCAGCUCUGAAAUCCACAGGUCAGUACCCUUGUUUCUAUCUCCCAUGGCUCCUCUAGGUGCAGCAGCUGCACAGUCAGGCUUAGCUCCUGGACUUUGCUCCGCCAUUUCCUUCCCAACAAUUUGUUUAGUUCACUCCUUAUCAUUUGGGUCUCAGUCCUGUCCUCCAGGUUUCUCCAUGCAUGGAAGCAGCCCCUCCCUCAACCCUGUUCCCACCCCUAUCAGCUGGAUCAUUGAAUUUUCUUCAUGGACUGGAACCUGGAAAUGUGAGCCAAAUACCCACCCCCUCAACUUGCUUUUGCAAGGGUGUUUUGUUACAGUAAUACAAAUGAAACUAAGACAGAGUCUGUAUUCAUGGUGGGAGUGUAGAACUGUUGUGGGUUAGUAAAAUUCAACGUAUAAUUUGCUUCCUUCCAGAUUCCUCAAGAAACUGUUGUAAAUGUUCUGUUGUUAUUUAUUUGAUACAUGAAUAAGAAGAUGAAGGUUCAGAGUGCACUGGUUGUGAGAUCUAUGUUUAGUUUUGACUUACAUGAGUUGAAAGCCAGACCCGGUGCUGGAUGUAGAAGAUGGGACAUUCAUGCCGUUGAAGAGUUCACAGCCUAGUUUGACCACUGCAGUCACAGAUACAAGAUGUUCACUGAGCACCUACUGAGUAUCAGACCCUGUCCUAGGGAUAGGCAUUUCUGUGCCAAAAGAAACAGAUGAAGAACCUCUGACUCCAGGAAAUCUGCAUUUCAGCCAACUAUGUGCCAGCAAACAAAUAAGCCUAUGUUAUCCGCAUGUUAUGGAUUGGUGUCAUGACAAAAAGGAGAGACACCAUGAGUGGCUGGGCGUCCAUGCCAAGCCAUAGGAAGACACAACCUGUGGAUGGCCAUUGGAGAGUCAAGGAGAAACCAAGCCUGCUGGACAUCUUGAUCUUGGAUGUCCAGUCUCAAAAUAGAGACAUUUCUGGAGGCACCUGGAUGCUGAGCCAGUUAGCCUGGAGUUCUACUGCAGCGGUCAUGUGGGUCAAGGUAUGCAGGUUAGGUCUACUGUCUUCAAUCCCUGGAAUUCUUCAAGUCCUGCUGAUUCCAUCCUCAGUUUCCCUCAGGUGCUUUCUAUGGCGAAAAAAACCACUGGGCCUCAGCAAGGAGCAUUCAAUCCUGUGUCUAUAUUCCAUAUGGCCCCUGGCCUCCUAGUGGCUCUGUAUCCUACGAGGUUUCCAAAUGCUCAGUACAUGUAUUGCUCUUCACGUAGACACAUCAGUCAGGGCACCAAUUGUCUUUCUCCUUAGACUGUUUUGGGCUUUGAUAAUCAUUUUAUCUACUUGUUUGUGAUCUGUCUCUCCUGGAAUGUAAUCCGUAUGGGCAUAAGGUGAGGUUUUAUUUAGUAGCUGGGUCCUCACUACCUUACCCCCCCCACACACACACACACACACUGGCUAGUCUAGAGCUGCGCCCAGAAUGCUGGGAAGUUGCUAGAAGGAAUCUCUGAUUUGUGCAGUUAUCACACUGAUCUUUAACAGAAGUCUCAUGCAAUAAACCAACUUAGACGACAUUGUGCAAUCAAGGUGUUCAGCUUCCUUGAGUUCCAGAUCCAAGGGUACCAACAUGCCCAGCUGAGAGAAGGCUCUUCCUUGGGGGGGGGCAGUCUGGGGAUAGCUCUGAAAUACCUGAAUCUUUUGUUUGGACCCUUGCUAUGUGUCUUUGGAACACACACACACACAAACACACACACACACACACACAAACACACACACACACACACACACACACACACACACACAAAUGCAAACAAACCUUCUCAGCUUCCACAGGUUCAGGACAGGGACUUGAUGUCCCAUCAAAGUGAUGCUAAGGCCCCCUUCACAAGGCAGGCCUCCAGUAACGGGGACAACAGUUUGAGAUCAGCAACCUUACCAAGUCCAUACAAGGUUACUACUACUACUGCUACUACUACUACUACUACUACUACUGCUACUGCUGCUGCUACUACUACUACAAC